CAAUAGCGUAUAUUAACGUUGUUGCAGUUAAAAAGCUCGUAGUUGGAUUUCUGGAGGGAGCGUCGGCCCGUAUUUACGAGUGCGUGACGUCUCUGUCCAUCCUUGCGGGAAGGCACGGCAUUGAUUUGUUGUGUCGGAUCGCAUCAUUUACUGUGAAAAAAUUAGAGUGUUCAAAGCAGGCUUUCGCUUGAAUACAUUAGCAUGGAAUAAUAAGAGAGGACUUUGGUGCUAUUUUGUUGGUUGAGCCUAAAGUAAUGAUUAAUAGGGAUAGUUGGGGGCACCUGUAUUGCGUUGUCAGAGGUGAAAUUCUUGGAUUUACGCAAGACAAACAGCUGCGAAAGCGUCUGCCAAGGAUGUUUNCAUUAA
rnacentral:rRNA from 1 species